rnacentral:rRNA from 1 species
AGUGAACGCUGGCGGUAGGCCUAACACAUGCAAGCCGAACGGCAGCACAGUAAGAGCUUGCUCUUACGGGUGGCGAGUGGCGGACGGGUGAGGAAUACAUCGGAAUCUACUUUUUCGUGGGGGAUAACGUAGGGAAACUUACGCUAAUACCGCAUACGACCUACGGUUGAAAGCAGGGGAUCUUCGGACCUUGCGCGAUUGAAUGAGCCGAUGUCGGAUUAGCUAGUUGGCGGGGUAAAGGCCCACCAAGGCGACGAUCCGUAGCUGGUCUGAGAGGAUGAUCAGCCACACUGGAACUGAGACACGGUCCAGACUCCUACGGGAGGCAGCAGUGGGGAAUAUUGGACAAUGGGCGCAAGCCUGAUCCAGCCAUACCGCGUGGGUGAAGAAGGCCUUCGGGUUGUAAAGCCCUUUUGUUGGGAAAGAAAAGCAGCAGGUUAAUACCCCGCUGUUCUGACGGUACCCAAAGAAUAAGCACCGGCUAACUUCGUG